GGGGAUAUGGCGAAAUUGGUAGACGCUACGGACUUAAUUGGAAAAAUCCGUCGACUUUAAAAAUCGUGAGGGUUCAAGUCCCUCUAUCCCCA
rnacentral:tRNA from 1 species